AUAGCGMAAGCUAGUUGUAUUAWCUGUUAGUUAGUUAAUAUAAAAUCAACUACGUUGAAUAAAGUUCUGGGCAGAUUUAUGAUAAUGACAUUAUCUGCCUAUGUGUCUUGACCAAAUCACGUGCCAKCAGUCGCGGUAAUACGUGGAAGACUAGUGUUAUUCAUCUUUAAUGGGUUUAAAGUGUACUUAGACGGUAUAUUAAGCCCGCAAAGGGGUACUGAUARACUAGAGUUUGAUGUGAGGGGGGCCAGUACUACUGGAGUASARAUKAAAUUCUGUCAUACCAGUAUARGAACAGGUAACGGCGAAAGCAACCCCUUAUGUAAAAACUGACGUUGAAGGACGAAGG
rnacentral:rRNA from 1 species